GAGGAAGCCGCCCGCGUCGGGGGGACUUGGAUUUGUCUCUUACAUCUGACUCCCGCCGCGGCGCUCCGGGGACUCAGCCCUCACUUGACUGGUGUUUGGCAGAAACUGCGGGGACAGGGUGGGCAGAGGAAGGAGCGCUGUAAACUUUGGGGGCGGGGACGUUUUCUUGGAGGUGACAAGUAGCCUCAAAUCUACAGCCUCCGGGGACCGGGGGUCGAAGUCCUCUGCUAGGAUACUCUGCGGGUCUGGACCCUGCCACAUGACCAACACCAGAGACCCCAAAAGAGCCAUGGAGUCCACGCUGGCGACAUCCAGUGCUGCCACAGGCCCUGUCACCUUCUCCCACGUCUUUGGCCAGCAGUGCCAGCUCAUGGAAGCAGGUAGGAAGCUCUGGGGUA
rnacentral:lncRNA from 1 species